rnacentral:rRNA from 1 species
GAUGAACGCUGGCGGCGUGCCUAACACAUGCAAGUCGAGCGAAUGGAUUAAGAGCUUGCUCUUAUGAAGUUAGCGGCGGACGGGUGAGUAACACGUGGGUAACCUGCCCAUAAGACUGGGAUAACUCCGGGAAACCGGGGCUAAUACCGGAUAACAUUUUGAACCGCAUGGUUCGAAAUUGAAAGGCGGCUUCGGCUGUCACUUAUGGAUGGACCCGCGUCGCAUUAGCUAGUUGGUGAGGUAACGGCUCACCAAGGCAGCGAUGCGUAGCCGACCUGGGAGGUUGAGCGGCCACACUGGGACGAGGACACGGCCCAGACUCCUACGGGAGGCAGCAGUAGGGAAUCUUCAGCAAUGGACGAAAGUCUGACGGAGCAACGCCGCGUGAGUGAUGAAGGCUUUCGGGUCGUAAAACUCUGUUGUUAGGGAAGAACAAGUGCUAGUUGAAUAAGCUGGCACCUUGACGGUACCUAACCAGAAAGCCACGGCUAACUACGUGCCAGCCGCCGCGGUAA